GGUCCCAUCUCUUUGGUUCGUACCAAAUCUUAAAGCACAAACAAGGUCUCUAACUGAGAAUCUGACUAUUUGUAUAUAGCAAAGCCCUUUUCUCAAUCAUAAGUAAAUUAGACGAGAGUUUGACAAUCAUUUGCAACGAACUUUGACGCACAUAUGCGGGUACAUCAUGCAACAAUACUCUCACGCAACUCUCUCUCUCAAAGAGAGCCUAGCGAUAGGUCGAAUGAGCAGCUCAAUUCCUGUUUCUGUUAGAAGACACAUUUUUAAACUGAGAAUGACAAGAACCUUGACGGGUUAGCUUUCGGUCACUGUCAACGAAACCAGCAGAUAAAAAAAAAACGAAACUAGCAGAUAAAGACAUGCCAAAUGGAGGUAACGGAGAUAACGAUACCAAGAAUAGGUUAUUGUUCGUAUACUUUUGGUGCUUGGGCAUCCGAUUAUGAUAGCUAUCAAGUUGCUAGUUGCCAUCUGUCGUCUUUCC
rnacentral:lncRNA from 1 species